UACGGAGGGUGCAAGCGUUAUCCGGAUUUACUGGGUUUAAAGGGUGCGUAGGUGGGUCUGUAAGUCAGUGGUGAAAUCUCCGGGCUUAACCCGGAAACUGCCAUUGAUACUAUAGGUCUUGAAUACUCUGGAGGUAAGCGGAAUAUGUCAUGUAGCGGUGAAAUGCUUAGAUAUGACAUAGAACACCAAUUGCGAAGGCAGCGUACUACGGGGUCAUUGACACUGAGGCACGAAAGCGUGGGGAUUAAUCAGG
rnacentral:rRNA from 1 species